AAUAGAGGAGCGGACGAGCAAAAGUAUCCCCUGCGCACGGAGAGCGGCAAACAUUUUCCGCAGGGCGAGAAAGGGCAUCUCCGCCGAAGCGCAGCGCGCCGCCGCAGCCGCUGACGCUGGGCGCCGGGGUCAAUACCCCCGCGACUGUCACACCGACGUGGAGAACUAUUCG
rnacentral:ncRNA from 1 species